rnacentral:rRNA from 1 species
GAUGAACGCUGGCGGCGUGCCUAAUACAUGCAAGUCGAGCGAACAGACGAGGAGCUUGCUCCUCUGACGUUAGCGGCGGACGGGUGAGUAACACGUGGAUAACCUACCUAUAAGACUGGGAUAACUUCGGGAAACCGGAGCUAAUACCGGCUCAUAUAUUGAACCGCAUGGUUCAAUAGUGAAAGACGGUUUUGCUGUCACUUAUAGAUGGAUCCGCGCCGCAUUAGCUAGUUGGUAAGGUAACGGCUUACCAAGGCGACGAUGCGUAGCCGACCUGAGAGGGUGAUCGGCCACACUGGAACUGAGACACGGUCCAGACUCCUACGGGAGGCAGCAGUAGGGAAUCUUCCGCAAUGGGCGAAAGCCUGACGGAGCAACGCCGCGUGAGUGAUGAAGGUCUUCGGAUCGUAAAACUCUGUUAUUAGGGAAGAACAAAUGUGUAAGUAACUAUGCACGUCUUGACGGUACCUAAUCAGAAAGCCACGGCUAACUACGUG